GGCGGCGUGCCUAAUACAUGCAAGUCGUACGAGUUCUCGUUGAUGAUCGGUGCUUGCACCGAGAUUCAACAUGGAACGAGUGGCGGACGGGUGAGUAACACGUGGGUAACCUGCCCUUAAGUGGGGGAUAACAUUUGGAAACAGAUGCUAAUACCGCAUAGAUCCAAGAACCGCAUGGUUCUUGGCUGAAAGAUGGCGUAAGCUAUCGCUUUUGGAUGGACCCGCGGCGUAUUAGCUAGUUGGUGAGGUAAUGGCUCACCAAGGCGAUGAUACGUAGCCGAACUGAGAGGUUGAUCGGCCACAUUGGGACUGAGACACGGCCCAAACUCCUACGGGAGGCAGCAGUAGGGAAUCUUCCACAAUGGACGCAAGUCUGAUGGAGCAACGCCGCGUGAGUGAAGAAGGCUUUCGGGUCGUAAAACUCUGUUGUUGGAGAAGAAUGGUCGGCAGAGUAACUGUUGUCGGCGUGACGGUAUCCAACCAGAAAGCCACGGCUAACUACGUGCCAGCAGCCGCGGUAAUACGUAGGUGGCAAGCGUUAUCCGGAUUUAUUGGGCGUAAAGCGAGCGCAGGCGGUUUUUUAAGUCUGAUGUGAAAGCCCUCGGCUUAACCGAGGUAGCGCAUCGGAAACUGGGGAAACUUGAGUGCAGAAGAGGACAGUGGAAC
rnacentral:rRNA from 2 species